GCGGAAGUGGCUCAGUGGUAGAGCAUCGCCUUCCCAAGGCGAGGGUCGCGAGUUCGAAUCUCGUUUUCCGCUCCA
rnacentral:tRNA from 1 species